ensembl:lncRNA
CCUACAUGUCAGAGAGAGAGAGAGAGAUGUCCUACAUGUCAGAGAGACAGAGAGAUGUCCUACAUGUCAGAGAGAGAGAGAUAUGUCCUACAUGUCAGAUAGAGAGAGAGAGAUGUCCUACAUGUCAGAUAGAGAGAGAGAGAUGUCCUACAUGUCAGAUAGAGAGAGAGAGAUGUCCUACAUGUCAGAUAGAGAGAGAGAGAUGUCCUACAUGUCAGAUAGAGAGAGAGAUGUCCUACAUGUCAGAGAGAGAGAGAGAGAUGUCCUACAUGUCAGAGAGAGAGAUGUCCUACAUGUCAGAGAGAGAGAGAGAGAGAGAGAUGUCCUACAUGUCGGAGAGAAAGAGAGAGAGAGAGAUGUCCUACAUGUCAGAGAGAGAGAGAGAGAGAUGUCCUACAUGUCAGAGAGAGAGAGAGAGAGAGAUGUCCUACAUGUCAGAUAGAGAGAGAGAGAGAUGUCCUACAUGUCAGAUAGAGAGAGAGAUGUCCUACAUGUCAGAGAGAGAGAGAUAGAUGUCCUACAUGUCAGAUAGAGAGAGAGAUGUCCUACAUGUCAGAUAGAGAGAGAGAUAGAUGUCCUACAUGUCAGAGAGAGAGAGAUGUCCUACAUGUCAGAGAGAGAGAGAUGUCCUACAUGUCAGAGAGAGA